rnacentral:rRNA from 1 species
AGAGUUUGAUCCUGGCUCAGAUUGAACGCUGGCGGCAUGCCUUACACAUGCAAGUCGAACGGUAGAGGGGCAACCCUUGAGAGUGGCGAACGGGUGAGUAAUGCAUCGGAACGUGCCCAGUCGUGGGGGAUAACGCAGCGAAAGCUGUGCUAAUACCGCAUGUGAUCUGUGGAUGAAAGCGGGGGACCGAAAGGCCUCGCGCGAUUGGAGCGGCCGAUGUCAGAUUAGCUAGUUGGUAGGGUAAAAGCCUACCAAGGCGACGAUCUGUAGCUGGUCUGAGAGGACGACCAGCCACACUGGGACUGAGACACGGCCCAGACUCCUACGGGAGGCAGCAGUGGGGAAUUUUGGACAAUGGGCGCAAGCCUGAUCCAGCAAUGCCGCGUGCAGGACGAAGGCCUUCGGGUUGUAAACUGCUUUUGUACGGAACGAAACGGUCUGGGUUAAUACCCUGGGCUACUGACGGUACCGUAAGAAUAAGCACCGGCUAACUACGUGCCAGCAGCCGCGGUAAUUC